GCCGCUUAGGUGACGCUGGGAAGUGCUUGCAGCCCCCGCCGCUGCCUUUUGGUUGAAGCACUAUGGAGGGAGAGAGGAAGAACAACAACAAACGGUGGUAUUUUACUCGAGAACAGCUGGAAAAUAGCCCGUCGCGUCGUUUCGGCGUGGACUCAGAUAAAGAACUAUCUUAUCGCCAGCAGGCGGCCAAUCUACUCCAGGACAUGGGACAACGUCUUAACGUCUCACAACUGACUAUCAACACUGCUAUAGUAUACAUGCACCGGUUCUAUAUGAUUCAGUCUUUUACACAGUUUCAUCGCUAUUCUAUGGCUCCAGCAGCCUUGUUUCUAGCAGCAAAAGUGGAAGAACAGCCAAAAAAACUGGAACAUGUCAUCAAGGUAGCACAUACUUGCCUCCACCCACAGGAGUCACUUCCUGACACGAGGAGCGAGGCAUACCUACAACAAGUUCAAGAUCUGGUGAUUUUAGAGAGCAUAAUUUUGCAGACCCUUGGGUUUGAACUAACAAUUGAUCACCCACAUACACAUGUGGUGAAGUGCACCCAACUUGUGCGGGCAAGCAAGGACUUAGCACAGACAUCUUACUUCAUGGCAACCAACAGCCUGCAUUUGACCACAUUUAGCCUGCAGUACACACCUCCUGUGGUGGCCUGUGUCUGCAUCCAUCUGGCUUGCAAGUGGUCCAACUGGGAGAUCCCAGUCUCAACUGACGGGAAGCACUGGUGGGAGUAUGUUGACGCCACUGUGACGUUGGAACUGUUAGAUGAAUUGACACAUGAAUUUCUACAGAUUCUGGAGAAAACUCCAAGCAGGCUGAAACGCAUUAGAAAUUGGAGGGCAUACCAGGCUGCCAUGAAAACUAAACCAGAUGACCGAGGAACAGAUGAAAACACAUCAGAGCAGACAAUCCUCAAUAUGAUUUCUCAGACCUCUUCAGACACAACUAUUGCAGGAUUAAUGAGCAUGUCAACUACUUCUACUACAAGUGCAGUGCCUUCCCUUCCUGUCUCUGAAGAGUCAUCAAGUAGUCUAACUAAUGUGGAUAUGUUGCAAGGCGAGCGAUGGCUGUCUUCCCAACCUCCUUUUAAACUAGAAUCUUCUCAGGGUCAUCGGACUAGUGAGAAUUUAGCACUUAUUGGAGUUGAUCAUUCCUUGCAACAUGAUAGUUCGAAUGCAUUUGUUUCCCAGAAGCAGACGAGUAAGAGCGUGCCAUCAGCUAAAGUUUCACUUAAAGAGUAUCGUGCAAAGCACGCUGAGGAGCUGGCUGCUCAGAAGAGGCAGUUGGAGAAUAUGGAGGCCAAUGUGAAGUCACAGUAUGCAUAUGCCGCCCAGAAUCUCCUGUCCCACCAUGACAGCCAUUCUUCAGUCAUUCUGAAGAUGCCCAUUGAGGGCUCAGAAAAUCCUGAACGACCUUUUUUGGAAAAGGCUGACAAGUCAGCUCUGAAAAUGAGACUCCCGGUGGCCAGUGGAGAUAAAGCAUCCUCCUCAAAACCAGAGGAGAUGAAAAUGCGCAUUAAAGUCCACUCUGCAGCCGAGAAGCACAAUUCUGCAGAGGACAGCAUCUCCAAGAGCCGGGAGCACAAAGAGAAGCACAAGCCUCAUCUGCCCAACCACCAUCACCAUCAUAAUCACCAUUCACACAAGCACUCUCACUUACAGCUGCCUGUCGGUGGUACUGUGAACAAACGGCCAGGUGACCCAAAACACAGCAGCCAGUCCAGCACCUUAGCACACAAACCGUAUAGUUUGUCUAGUACUUUGUCUUCUUCGAGCUCUACUCGUAAGAGGGGUCCCCCGGAAGAGACGGGGGCAGCAGUGUUUGAUCAUCCAGCCAAGAUUGCCAAGAGUACUAAAUCCUCUUCCUUGAAUUUCCCCUUCCCUCCUCUUCCUACAAUGACCCAGUUGCCUGGGCAUAGCUCAGACACAAGUGGCCUGCCCUUUUCACAGCCUAGCUGUAAAACUCGAGUUCCUCAUAUGAAACUGGAUAAAGGCCCUCCUGGGGCUAAUGGUCACAACACAACUCAGUCAAUAGAUUAUCAAGAUACUGUGAAUAUGCUCCACUCCCUGCUCAGUGCCCAGGGUGUUCAGCCCACUCAGCCCCCUGCAUUUGAAUUUGUUCAUUCUUAUGGUGAAUAUAUGAAUCCACGAGCUGGUGGAAUCUCCAGAUCUGGCAAUACAGACAAACCUCGACCACCACCCCUACCAUCAGAACCACCUCCACCACUUCCACCUCUUCCAAAAUGAAAAAAAAAAUGAGGCGAAAACUUAAAAAACAAAAACACUUUGUUUUUGGGGGAUUUUUGGUUUGUUUUUGUUUUGACUACUGAUACUGGACUACGAAAAUUACAUCCCUUAUGAAAUAUGUCACCAUUGGACUAAGGAAUAAAUUGAUAUUGAGACAGGUGGGAGGGUGGUGGAGGCCUCAGUUAUUACAUCUGCCUCAUACAUCUAUCUUAUAGUCUGUACUGGUAUCAGAGGUAAGAUUGUGUUGAAGCUGUGAAGGAUUAAGAACACUGUUCUUGGCCUCUCCUCAUCCUUAUGGGGUUGAUUGAAGUACUCUUCCCCUCUUCUUGCUGGAACUGAAUCGUGGGGGUGAUCAAGCAGUUUGUUUAACAUAUCAGAAGAGGGAGUAUUUAAACGUCAGAUCUUUAAGAGACUUAAAAAUAAUUUAAAGAAAUGAAGCUUCUGUCAUGCCAAGUAGUCUUCAUGGAGAGGUCAGAUUCUUUUUGCUGAAAGUCAUAGGGAAACAGAAAUUGUACGGGUGCUGCUUGCCAAGAACAGCCUAGGAAAACACUGCGGCAGUUACUAUUGAGGUAAUGGCCCAGUAGAGAAGAAUGUAUAGGAGGAAUAUAUCUUAGGGUGACUUCGUGGUUCGUAAUCUGCAUGUUUGAACAGUCCUGGAGUGCCUGCCAAUGCUGUGCAAAACAAGGAACUCCUAACUAAUCUGUAAGCCAGUGAUAUUUCUUGGUAUGCAACUUUUAAAGUGACAUUUUCUUUCUUGGUAUUUCCUGUGUUGUGCAAGAAAUAUGUGUCAUCAUGAUUACUAAGUUUAGGUUUGGUAUUCGUUUAGAUUUUGUUUUCCAUCCUGACCUUCCCAAAAGGGAAUGUGCCAUUUUAGAGUACAUCUGUAUUUGUGGGAUUGACCAUAACUGAUUUGGGAAAAUGUUCUUUUAAUUACUCACUAAUGUCACGUGUUUUCUAAUCACAUGCACUCCCUUACCACAAAGGCUGUUGUAUCUGCUGUUACAGCAGUUCUUCAUGCCAGUGCUGUAGUUAAUUUCUUAGAACUGUCAGUAGUGAGCUAGAAAGUGCUUACUAGAGUCUAAAAGAGGGACCAUGUUGUAGUCUGGUCCUACUGUAGAUCAGCACUGAAUUUGGUUAGUUUAUGGACUUUUCCUAUAUUAGUUCCUCCUGGUAUUGUCUACAGAUAUCUACAGUAUCUGCUUUUAGAUCUGUGCAUAGGUCCUGAACCUCCUCAUGGGCUCUGCAUGAACUGCUGCAUUAUUUUUGGGUUAGCAGAUAUACCUUCUAGCUAGCAUGCAUAUUGUCCUGUUUCUGUAUAAAUAAGGCUUCUAAACUGUGUGUGUCUCUCCCACCUUCAGACCUUCAAAGGUCGAGAAGUAGUAUUUGUAUAUCUAAAGUCAGCCUUGUAAACAUGGCUUUUUUCUUUUAAUCUAAACUGUCAAGAAUAAGUGACAGUGGUAAGCAGGCUUGGAGCCUCAACUUCUGUAAAUCUCAUUCCUAAAAUUUUGCUUGACUCUUAUGUUGGCAGAAAUAAAUACCUGUGGAUUGUUGUUAGGGCUUUUUAAAUCAUACCUGUGUUGUUGGCUAAACUCUGAAUCAUUAACCUAAAGCCAGUGUGGUCUUCUGAAGUAUUCAGUUAAGCCUUUUGGGUUUAGAAAAUACCUAAAUAGUAGCCUACUUUUCUCAUUCAUGAAUCAUUGUGGUUUUUGUAUCUGAGACUCUCAGUAUUCUUUCCUUGUAAAUGAUUUUAGUGUUUUGGUUUAGUGUAUCCCACAUAUUUCUAUAUUGUUAGUUUCACCGGCAGUGAUAGAAAAAUCGAAAUCUCCAAUUGCAAACAGCAGUAGAUAAGAGUAUUGAAACAAAAUCAUGGUAACAUCACUGCUGGGUUUCCUGAAGCCUUUGCAACCUAAUUCCUCAUUACCUCUCAUACCUUGCUUCUAGAAAAAGGCAAUUGGAGGGGUCCUAUCUAUCCUAGUAUGGUUGGAAUCUAAAUAUAUGCGUUUCCAUUAUUUUGGGAACUGAUUAUUUUUUUAAAGAUUUUUUUUUCUUUUUGAUGAGUUAUUUUGAUACUCAUGCUAGGAAAUGAGAAACUAAGACAUCUUGAUUGGAAUGCCUAUUUUAUUCUCCUGGGUUUGGGAGAAUUUUAAGCAGUCUAUGCAACCCAUCAGUUAGUGAGAAAUAGCUUUCCACCAUCCCCCACUGAGCUUUCAACGAUUCAUACCUCCCCAAAUGUCUUGACGUUGACUGAAUUUUGGAUCUUGAUGGUUUAGAAAGCAUUCUUGUUACACCAAGCUGUCGUUUAUUUCUUAUUCCUCAGUGGAUGGAAGUUUGAAAGAAGAAUGGUACUGUAAUUUUACUUGAUGGAGUGGUCUAAAUUCAGAGUUGUUUUCUAAGUGGGUGAGCUCUCCAUGUUAAUAUUUUUAAAGUUUUUAAUAUGAACUUGGCAAUGGAAAAAAGAGGGAAAAGAAUGUUUAAUAAAAAUCAGUGUCUGCCCUUUCCCUUUUUGAGUGCGUAUUGCUGCUUGUAUGAAGAAACUCAUAGGUUUUGUGUUGCCGUUCUAAUUGUGGAGAGGGAUGCUUGACAGCAUGUUAAUUGAAGCCAGAGCAAGUAUGUCUCCCAUCAGGUGGUCUGGAAAUGCCAGUGGAAGCAGAGGAAGUGAUGAGCUGAAGACCAUAAUAAAACACUUACAAAGCAGAAGUGCUUUCUGGCCUAAGAACUCAAAACUGUAAGGUGUAACUUAGGGUUCUAAACUUGAAACUGAUAUAUAUUACCUUACUUUCCACACAUUUUCUAUCAAAAACUGUCCAUUUUCUUAUCAGACCAAAGAACAAAAAAAAAAAAAGAAAAGAAAAAAGAAAAUGAAAAGCAAAGUAACACAUUUUACCAGUUUAUGUCACUCAGGUACAAUUUUGUGGUGAGCUUUUUUUGUUGUUUUGUUUUUUGUCUUAUUUUGUACUGCUCAGCAUAUUAUUCUGCUGUUGCCUCUGUCCUCCGUGGGGCACCUCAGUUUUGGGUGCUACUCCUGGGAUCUCUACUGCUGUUAGGGGAGUGAUGAUAGGAUGUAAGUGACCAUUAUCAUAAGGGCUCUUUGUAAAAAACUUUAAAAACUCAAAAAAAAAAAAAAUUUAAAGAAGGAUAUUGUAUACACAUUUUAUAGUCUGGCUAUCAGUUUGAUAUCUUGCUGUCAAGUAUGUUUCUCAAUCUGUAUUUAUCCAUCCCAUC